AUUGAACGCUGGCGGCAGGCCUAACACAUGCAAGUCGAGCGGAUGAAGGGAGCUUGCUCCUGGAUUCAGCGGCGGACGGGUGAGUAAUGCCUAGGAAUCUGCCUGGUAGUGGGGGAUAACGUCCGGAAACGGGCGCUAAUACCGCAUACGUCCUGAGGGAGAAAGUGGGGGAUCUUCGGACCUCACGCUAUCAGAUGAGCCUAGGUCGGAUUAGCUAGUUGGUGGGGUAAAGGCCUACCAAGGCGACGAUCCGUAACUGGUCUGAGAGGAUGAUCAGUCAACCUGGACUUGAGCCCGGUCCCAGCUCCUAAGGGGAGCAAGAAUGGGGAAAUUUUGACCAUUGGCGAAAAGCUUGUUCCGGCCAGGCCGGGGUUGUGAAGAAGGUCUUCGGAUUGUAAAGCACUUUAAGUUGGAAGAAAGGCAAGUAGGUUAAUCCUUUGCUGUUUGACGUUACCAACAGAAUAAGCACCGGCUAACUUCGUG
rnacentral:rRNA from 1 species